ensembl:lncRNA
GGAGAUUACUCUUUACUCUUAGAUUGGUGAUUGGGGCUUAUUGAAUGUUAACAAGCUCAGUUUUGUUUUUUGUUUUGUUUUAAAAUCAAUGGACAACUUUGGAAUAAAAGAGGCUCUCGAAUGCUCUCUAGAGAAACCCCUAGAGUCAGUAGAGAAAAUUUCUCUGCCCGGUCAGCUUCUGGAUAAACAAAAAAUAAAAGCAAAUACGAUGGGAUCGCUAAGCAAAUCUACCCACAUUGGAAUCACGUUGUAAUCAUCCCACAAGUAUCCGCAAGGCUGACUUGACAUUGCAAAGGACCGUCAAAGUUGCUUACAAGUUAGGUGUACAUAGUUUUCCCCCAAAAUCAAAGUUCCCUCUUUGGCCCUCAGUGAGACCUGGAGUCUGGGCCAUGAAUGCAAAACACGGCAUUGCACCUCACUAGUUGAUCCCAAGGACUUGAAAACUGGGAUGCUGUGGGUCUUGUAGCCCUCUCACUGGGGAAAGCGAUACCCAUUUCUGAUUAUUUAGCUAAGAGUUAGCGGAUAAUGCCUGAAGGACCCAGGAGAGCUGAGAGCCCAGCGUAGGACACUCCCAUUUUCCUCUGAACCAUCAUGGAAAUGUCAGGUCCCUGGUCCAAGUCUGAGAGGUCAUCUGUCUGGGGAGGGAUGAACUCACUGGUUUGGACAAGGGCAGGCCACUUAACUGGUUGAGGUGAGCUUUCCUUGGCUACAAAAUGAUGAUAACUGCCCCCGCCGACUGCCUGGGACACUGGGAGGCACAGCACAGACAAGGUGCACUUGGACUUUCUCAGGAGUGGGCCGUGUAAUGUGCCUGGUGUCCCGGGCUCCCUUGCUCCUGCUUCCCAGUAGCUAGGGGUGCCUCCAUCCACUCUCAUCUCAGCCUCAGGACUGCCCUUCCCACUGGGGAGCGGUCAGCUUACAUAUACUUAAGCCCCCUUGGCUCAGGACCCAUCUGAGACUUGGCCUCCAGAGUCCCAAGUAACCCCAGGGAGCUCCUGCCAACUCUCUCCACCGAAGCACCUUCAGAAGCUGCCACCUCCUAGGCCCACUGCCUACACUUCUAGGCAAGUGGUCCUCAGCAGGAAGCAGCAGCAAACCUCACGCCUGCAGGCUGCCCACACGUCUGCCUGCAGCAUCCUCCUGGGAAUCACUCCUUCAUCUCCAGUUCCUCUCCUUGGCCUAAGACUCCAUCCUUCACCCAGAGGCACUUCAACACCUGGGCAGCCCCAGCAUGCACCUGCUAAAUCAAACAUCAAAAUAACACCUCAGAAAAAUCCAUCAUUGGAAGCACAGCCCUUACAAGUAGGCCAGGAGCCCUUGCUAAAUGGAAACGGUGUCUGCCUACUGAAAUACGAGACGUAACUAUGAACCAGUCUCCAAACAAAGCACACAACGUUCCCAGAGCACAAUUGAACACCACUCACUGUGAAUCAACCCAGAAGCAGAAGAAUUGCCUCUUGAGUAAGAAAAAAAGACCGUGAACUCACCUGGAGAUGGGACUUGCCAGGUGGCACUGGAGGUAAAAGAAUCUGCCUGCCAAUGCAGGGCAUGUGGGUUCAAUCCCUGGUCAGGAUUGAGAAUCCCUGGAGAAGGGAAAUGCAACCUGCUCCAGUAUUCCUGCCUGGGAAAUCCCAUGGACAGAGGAGCCUGGUAGGCUGUAGCUCGUGGGGCCACAAGAGUUAGACACAACUUAACAACUGAGCACACAUGCGUGCAACCUUGAGAUAAACCAGGGGUCGGUGUCAUGCGACGAGAAAGCUUCCUGAAACGUUUCAACCAUCAACCUUAAACUUCCUCAGGUGAGGGCGGGAGGCUGGUCCCAGGCAUCCAUGUUGGGCUAACAGCAGUCAGAAAGGGCCUUUAUGUGGACACUGACUUUCAUGUCAUUUAAUUAAAGAUAACUUUCUUUCCCCCCGAGUUUUCUCUCUACGAUGCCUCUCUUCAAGCAGCUGGCAUGUCUCUGUGUAGGAACCAUGUCCUUCAGAGGAGCUGGGGGCCAGAGGGGCCUUGGGGGCCUGCCUCUGCCCCUUGGUUCACUCCCACAAGUGAGGAGUAGGGCUCACCUAGACCC